rnacentral:rRNA from 1 species
CUUGCUCCCUGAUGUUAGCGGCGGACGGGUGAGUAACACGUGGGUAACCUGCCUGUAAGACUGGGAUAACUCCGGGAAACCGGGGCUAAUACCGGAUGGUUGUCUGAACCGCAUGGUUCAGACAUAAAAGGUGGCUUCGGCUACCACUUACAGAUGGACCCGCGGCGCAUUAGCUAGUUGGUGAGGUAACGGCUCACCAAGGCGACGAUGCGUAGCCGACCUGAGAGGGUGAUCGGCCACACUGGGACUGAGACACGGCCCAGACUCCUACGGGAGGCAGCAGUAGGGAAUCUUCCGCAAUGGACGAAAGUCUGACGGAGCAACGCCGCGUGAGUGAUGAAGGUUUUCGGAUCGUAAAGCUCUGUUGUUAGGGAAGAACAAGUGCCGUUCAAAUAGGGCGGCACCUUGACGGUACCUAACCAGAAAGCCACGGCUAACUACGUGCCAGCAGCCGCGGUAAUACGUAGGUGGCAAGCGUUGUCCGGAAUUAU